GAACCAGCGCCAAAGCGUCAGCCUGCGGGCGCCAAGCCUGAGUGGGGCCCUCCUAGGCUUUCGAGCUGGUGUGAGCUGCCUGCGAAACUUGAACCUCUUAGUGAAGCCGUCUGCGUUAGCGCGCUUAUUUGCCCUAAUGGGGGAGGUCUGUGGGGUUUGCAAAGUAGUGCCAUGAGUCUCAGGAUUCUGUGAAAAUGCGGGAAUCUGAUUGGCGGGGUCUCAAGACUGUGAGGAUGAGCAGUUUCCGCAGCCUACGCUUUGCGGGAGAUUCUGAAUUUUGAGAGACUGGCAGUACGAGUCAGAUCUGUACCUGUGGAGCCCCACGGGUUCCCGAGAUACAGCAGGGGAAGUCGACGCCUUACGAGCUACCGGUAGAUGGCAGCACAGGACCCUUGCAGAACUCAGUGGCUCUGAGCUCGGGGCCUGGCGGGCUUCUCUCUGGAGCCAGCGGCUGCCUUAUGUUGCAGAAAAAUGGAGAACAAGAGAAUGGUCAUGUCCCAGGUCUCAGGGGACACGGGUUCGAGCCCUGGUCCGGGAAGAUCCCACACGCCACGGAGCAACUAAGCCAUGUGCGCCACAACUACUGAGCCUGCGCUCUAGAGCCAGUGAGACACAACUACUGAGCCCACCUGCCAUAACUACUGAAGACCGUGCACCGCAACAAAGAGAAGCCACCACAACGAGAAGCCUGCGCACCACAACGAAGAGUGCCCCCACUUGCUGCAACUAGAGAAAGCCCGCGCACAGCAACGAAGACCCAACACAGCCAAAAACAAACAAACAAACAAAUAAAUAAAUAAAUUUAUUUAAAAAAAAGAACUGUCAUGGCACGGGUGGGUGUGUCAUUUAGCAUGCUAGUAUAUUAGAAUGAGUGUAUAAUGAGGCUCAAGAUCUACUGGAAGUGAAAUCUUCCACCAUCUUGGGCCUAGUUGGUUCUAACUAAUUUUUUUUGUAUCCUCAAUGGCUGUGUCAUUCUUUUAAUGGUUGUGCCCUGCCCCCUUCCCUCCUGGGUCACUUACAUG